rnacentral:rRNA from 1 species
GAUGAACGCUAGCGGCAGGCCUAACACAUGCAAGUCGAGGGAGAAGCCCUUUCGGGGGCAGAAAACCGGCGCACGGGUGCGUAACGCGUAUGCAACCUACCUUUCACAGGGGGAUAGCCCGAAGAAAUUUGGAUUAAUACCCCAUAAUAUUAUUGGAUGGCAUCAUUUGAUAAUUAAAACUGCGGUGGUGAAAGAUGGGCAUGCGUCCUAUUAGCUAGUUGGAGUGGUAACGGCACCCCAAGGCUACGAUAGGUAGGGGUCCUGAGAGGGAGAUCCCCCACACUGGUACUGAGACAGGGACCAGACUCCUACGGGAGGCAGCAGUGAGGAAAUAUUGGUCCAAUGGUGGGAAGAACUGAACCCAGCCAUUCCGCGGUGCAGGGAAAGAAAUGCCCUUA